CCGUGCACGAAGGACAGGAGUGGCUGUGCUUCGGGUACGUUCUAACCGUUGUCGAUCUGAAGAGAACGAACGUUCGACAGGUGAUCGACGUAGUGACUGCUUGAACGCACAUCAUCAAUAUGUGGAUUCUUGGCUUAUAUACAUAAAUAAUUGGCUGCGUGGCACUUGCCAUCUUCCUGGGAGCGUUAUUUGUACUCAACAUGGCCGUUCAAUUUUUGGAAGGAGUUAGGCGUCCCAGGACCCAAACCAACACCCCUCUUCGGAAACUUUUGGCAAGCAAUAACCAAGGGUUUCCACAUCACAGACAUGGCAUGGAUAAACGAAUAUGGGAAGUUAACCGGGUAAGUCCGUAAUUUUAGAAACAGUGUAUCCCACUCCCAUCAGAUGCAUGC